CCUACGGGAGGCAGCAGUAAGGAAUAUUGGUCAAUGGACGCAAGUCUGAACCAGCCAUGCCGCGUGAAGGAUUAAGGCCCUCUGGGUUGUAAACUUCUUUUAUAGGGGACGAAAGAAGGGCAUUCUUGCUCACUUGACGGUACCCUAGGAAUAAGCACCGGCUAACUCCGUGCCAGCAGCCGCGGUAAUACGGAGGGUGCAAGCGUUAUCCGGAUUUACUGGGUUUAAAGGUGCGUAGGUGGGUUGGUAAGUCAGUGGUGAAAUCUUCGAGCUUAACUCGGAAACUGCCAUUGAUACUAUCAAUCUUGAAUCAUCUAGAGGUAAGCGGAAUAUGUCAUGUAGCGGUGAAAUGCUUAGAUAUGACAUAGAACACCAAUUGCGAAGGCAGCUUACUAUGGAUGCAUUGACACUGAGGCACGAAAGCGUGGGGAUCAAACAGGAUUAGAUACCCUGGUAGUCCACGCCCUAAACGAUGGAUACUCGACAUUUGUGAUAUACAAUAAGUGUCUGAGCGAAAGCAUUAAGUAUCCACCUGGAAGUACGACGCAAGUUGAAACUCAAAUGAAAUUGACGG
rnacentral:rRNA from 1 species